rnacentral:rRNA from 1 species
UAAGGAAUAUUGGUCAAUGGACGCAAGUCUGAACCAGCCAUGCCGCGUGCAGGAAGACGGCCCUAUGGGUUGUAAACUGCUUUUAUACAGGAAUAAUUGCUCAUACGUGUAUGGGCUUGAAGGUACUGUAAGA